GCAGAAUCAGGCGCAGUUCAAUAUUGAAAAGACAAGAUGGCGAUAGAGAAAAGGCAUCGUGUGGUACGCAAUAAGAAUGGCGUCGUCCAAAAUAAUAAGAAAAAUAAGAACAUUCGUAAAUAAAAUGCCUGGUAAACGUUUCAAGGAAUUUAGAUUUUUACCGUUAUGUUUUAUCAUGGGUAGUGUGCUAGAGUUCCUUAUGAUUCAUUGGCAUGUCGGAGAGGUUAACUUUUAUAAAACGUAUAAAAAGAGAAGAAUAGAAGAAGCAGUUCAAGAGAGAUUAAAAAAAAUAUAUUAACGAAUAAAUGAAUUAUAGCAAAUAUUAUCCAUAAAUUAAUGGGCGAAAGUGAAAUUUGUAUCUAUGAUAACAAAUUAAUCUUCAGAAUGAUGUUGAUAUAAUUUAUGAAGGAUUUAUGUAAAAACAUAUAUAAAAUAUAAUAAAUUAUUUUACAAACGUUUAAGUA